rnacentral:rRNA from 1 species
UACGGAGGAUGCAAGCGUUAUCCGGAUUUAUUGGGUUUAAAGGGUGCGCAGGUUGUUUGAUAAGUCAGUGGUGAAAGUCUGUCGCUUAACGGUAGGAUUGCCAUUGAUACUGUUAGACUUGAAUAUGGAUGAGGUAGGCGGAAUGUGUAGUGUAGCGGUGAAAUGCAUAGAUAUUACACAGAACACCGAUUGCGAAGGCAGCUUACUAUUCCAUUAUUGACGCUGAUGCACGAAAGCGUGGGGAGCAAACA